AUGGAGGCAAGGGAGGACUGGAAGAUUGCAUGGGUAAGGAGAGAUGCAAAUCGGGCUGCUCAUGUUUUAGCUAGGGAAUCUGUUUCUAAUAAUCUCUGUAUGGAGUGGCCGAAUAUUCCCUCAGACAUUAUUUUGCAUGUAAUUUCGGAUGAGAUCCCCAGUGGGGACAGUUGA
rnacentral:rRNA from 1 species